rnacentral:rRNA from 1 species
ACUUUAACCCACUUAGGGGAACUUGUCCUUUAAUUCGAUAAUCCACGACAAUCUUAUUUAUUUUAGAACACUUCAGCUUGUAUACCGUCGUCACAAGUUAACCUUAAAGAGGAUAAAAGUUAACAACAAAGAUUAAGACAAAGGUCUUCUCUCAGGUCAGAUCAAGGUGCAGCUAAUAAAUAAAGACAGAGAUGAGUUACAAUUAACAAAUUUUACAUGGAAUUUUCAGAGAAAAAUGAAAAAGAAACAGGACUUAAAAGUAAUUAAUAAAAACAAAUGUUAAUGAAUAAGGUAAUAAAGUGUGC